rnacentral:sRNA from 1 species
ACUGGGCGACAAACACGUCUGCCCUCUUCCCGGCCAUGGCACGACCCCUAUCGCUUCCGCUUCUGGUGACAU